GAUGAACGCUAGCGGCAGGCCUAAUACAUGCAAGUCGGACGGGAUUGAGGAGCUUGCUUCUCAUGAGAGUGGCGCACGGGUGUGUAACACGUAUGUAACCUACCUUGUUCAGGGGGAUAGCCUCUCGAAAGAGAGAUUAAGACCGCAUAACGUAGUGAUGUGGCAUCAUAUUACUACCAAAUAUUUAUAGGAACAAGAUGGGCAUGCGGAACAUUAGCUAGUUGGUAAGGUAACGGCUUACCAAGGCUACGAUGUUUAGGGGAUCUGAGAGGAUUACCCCCCACACUGGUACUGAGACACGGACCAGACUCCUACGGGAGGCAGCAGUAAGGAAUAUUGGUCAAUGGACGGAAGUCUGAACCAGCCAUGCCGCGUGCAGGAAGACGGCCCUACGGGUUGUGAACUGCUUUUAUACGGGAAUAAACCUACUUACGUGUAAGUAGCUGAAUGUACUGUAAGAAUAAGGAUCGGCUAACUCCGUGCCAGCCGCCGCGGUAACAC
rnacentral:rRNA from 1 species